UGGGGAUUAUUGGACAAUGGGCGCAAGCCUGAUCCAGCCAUGCCGCGUGUGUGAAGAAGGCCUUUUGGUUGUAAAGCACUUUAAGCGAGGAGGAGGCUACUUGGAUUAAUACUCUAAGAUAGUGGACGUUACUCGCAGAAUAAGCACCGGCUAACUCUGUGCCAGCAGCCGCGGUAAUACAGAGGGUGCGAGCGUUAAUCGGAUUUACUGGGCGUAAAGCGUGCGUAGGCGGCUUCUUAAGUCGGAUGUGAAAUCCCUGAGCUUAACUUAGGAAUUGCAUUCGAUACUGGGGAGCUAGAGUAUGGGAGAGGAUGGUAGAAUUCCAGGUGUAGCGGUGAAACGCGUAGAGAUCUGGAGGAAUACCGAUGGCGAAGGCAGCCAUCUGGCCUAAUACUGACGCUGAGGUACGAAAGCAUGGGGAGCAAACAGG
rnacentral:rRNA from 1 species